rnacentral:rRNA from 1 species
UACGGAGGAUCCAAGCGUUAUCCGGAUUCACUGGGUUUAAAGGGUGUGUAGGCGGAUUUUUAAGUCAGUGGUGAAAUCUCCGGGCUCAACCCGGAAACUGCCAUUGAUACUAUUAGUCUUGAAUUCUGUUGAGGUGGGCGGAAUACAUCAUGUAGCGGUGAAAAUGCUUAGAUAUGAUGUAGAACACCGAUUGCGAAGGCAGCUCACUAAGCAGACAUUGACGCUGAGGCACGAAAGCGUGGGGAUCAAACAGG